rnacentral:rRNA from 1 species
GACGAACGCUGGCGGCGUGCUUAACACAUGCAAGUCGAACGGAAAGGCCCUGCUUUUGUGGGGUGCUCGAGUGGCGAACGGGUGAGUAACCCGUGAGUCACCUGCCCUUGACUUUGGGAUAACUUCAGGAAACUGGGGCUAAUACCGGAUAGGAGCUCCUGCUGCAUGGUGGGGGUUGGAACGUUUCGGCGGUUGGGGAUGGACUCGCGGCUUAUGAGCUUGUUGGUGGGGGAGUGGCUUACCAAGGCUUUGACGGGUAGCCGGCCUGGGAGGGGGGACGGGGACAAUAGUCCUGAGAGACGGACCAGACUCCAACGGGAGGCAGCAGUGGGGAACCUGGUACAAUGGUCGGAAGUCUGAUGCAGCAACGCCGGGAUCGGGAAGACGGCCUUGGGGGUGUAAACCGCAUUAGCUUGUGACGAUGCGGGAGUGACGUUAAUGGGAAAAGAAGCACCGGCUAACUACGUG